GUGCCAUCCUAACAGAUUGGGAGAUUGUGUCUGUGCUCCAGGACAGACUGUUUUCAUUUCUGUGGCUGUGAGGAGUACGUUAUCUAUCUGGCAUCUCCAUCUCCAAAACAGCCACAAUACUAUGACUAAGAAGAAAAAUGUAGAAAAAUCUUCAUGUCAUGUGAAAGACAAGUGAACUGCAUGAAGACAACAGUUUGAUUUGCCUGAGAUCCCAAAAGUGCAAGAACUGGCAUCAGUGACAGAAACUAAGUUUGUUAACUCUUGAAUCUAGAGAGAAUACAAUAAAAUGAAAAGCUGGUGCAGUCUGUGCUCAUCAGAAUUCUUGUGAGACUUCUGCAGGUGUGGCGUAUGGUGUGUCCCCGAUGCGUGGCAUGCUAUUCUAGGGGUGACCCGAAAUACCUGGGAGGGUCUAGAGAGAGGGAGCUGCAGCAGAAAGCCCACAGUGGGAACGAUGUUAAUGAGCAGGUUAGAGAACUGCCUGUGAUUUUAACAUCUGGUUGUGCUGAGCUGUGCCCAACUGCUUCCAGCACAGCCCUGACUGUGGCAUUGGUAAUUCCAGUGUCCCAACCCAAGGGCUCCCUCCUGGGAUCUGCGUGGGGGUUGG